UAAAAAUAAUUUUAAUUUUAUUUUUUUAUUAAUAAAUUCUUAAUUUAAAUAAUUAAAAUAUAUUUUGUUAAAUAAUUAAUUACAUUUAAUUUUUAAAUUUUAAAAAAAUUAAUUUUUUAUUUAAUUAAAUUUUAAGAAAAAUUAUUUUUUUUUACCUUUUGUAUCAGGAUUAAUUUAAAAAUUUUUAAAAUUUUAAAUUUCUCGAAAUUUAAAAAAUUUAAAUUUUUAUUUUUAUUAAUAUAUCAAUAUUUAUAUAUAAUAAAAAUUUAGAAACUAUAAAUUAAACAAUUUUAAAAAUAUCUAGUUAUUUAAAAAAUAAAUUUAAUUUAUUUUUAAUUUUAAUUUUAAUUUUUUUUUAAAUUUAAUUUUAAAUUAAAAAAAUAAUUUAAGGGAUAAACUUUAAAUUAAUUUUAUAAAUUUUUUUUAAUAUAUAUUAUAAUUUAAAAAUAAAAUUAUUUUUAAUUAAAAAAUAUUUAAUAAUCUUAUAAUAUAUACAUAAUAAAUUUAAUAAUAAAUUUUAAUUAUUUAUUAAAUUAUUAAAUUAAAUAAAAAAAUUUAAAAAAUAAUGAUUAAAUUAGUAAUUUUAUUAAUUUAAUUUAAUAUAUUUAAAAAUUAAAAUUAAUUUUAAUUAAUUCGGCAAAUAAAUAUAUUCACCUGUUUAUCAAAAACAUGUCUUAUUGAUAAAUAAUUUUAAGUCAAAUCUGCUCAAUGAAUUUAAAUUUUAAAUAGCUGCAGUAUAAAUAACUGUACAAAGGUAGCAUAAUAAUUAGUUUUUUAAUUAAAAACUUGAAUGAAUGAUUUAAUGAAAUAUAUACUGUAUCAAAUUUAAAAAAUAAAUUUUUUUUUUAAAUUAAAAAAUUUAAAUAAUUUUUAUAGACGAGAAGACCCUAAAGAAUUUUUUAUAAUUUUUUAAUAAAUAAAAAAUUAUUUUAAUUGGGGAAAUUUUAAAAUUUAAUUAAUUUUUAAUUAAUAUAAACAUAAAUUUUUGAAUAAAUUUUAUUUUUUAAAAAAUAAAAUUUAAAUUACCUUAGGGAUAACAGCAUAAUUUUUUUAAAAAGUUCAUAUUUAUAAAAAAGUUUAUGACCUCGAUGUUGAAUUAAGAUUAAUUUAAUAGAAAAAUAUUAAAAAUUUAAGUCUGUUCGACUUUUAAAAUCUUACAUGAUUUGAGUUAAGAUCGGUGUAAACCAGAUCGGAUUCUAUCUUAAAAUAAUUUAAAUAUUUUUGUACGAAAGGAAUUUAUAUUUAAAAUAAUUUUUUAAAAUCUAAUAUUAUUAUUUAAUAAUUAAAAUU
rnacentral:rRNA from 1 species